GGGACGGAGAAGGCUAUGUUGGCCGGGCGACGGUUGUCCCGGUUUAAGCGUGUAGGUGUGUGUUCCAGGUAAAUCCGGUUCACUUUAACACUGAGGCGUGAUGACGAGGCACUACGGUGCUGAAGUAACAAAUGCCCUGCUUCCAGGAAAAGCCUCUAAGCAUCAGGUAACAUCAAAUCGUACCCCAAACCGACACAGGUGGUCAGGUAGAGAAUACCAAGGCGCUUGAGAGAACUCGGGUGAAGGAACUAGGCAAAAUGGUGCCGUAACUUCGGGAGAAGGCACGCUGACACGUAGGUGAAGUGAUUUACUCACGGAGCUGAAGUCAGUCGAAGAUACCAGCUGGCUGCAACUGUUUAUUAAAAACACAGCACUGUGCAAACACGAAAGUGGACGUAUACGGUGUGACGCCUGCCCGGUGCCGGAAGGUUAAUUGAUGGGGUCAGCGCAAGCGAAGCUCCUGAUCGAAGCCCCGGUAAACGGCGGCCGUAACUAUAACGGUCCUAAGGUAGCGAAAUUCCUUGUCGGGUAAGUUCCGACCUGCACGAAUGGCGUAAUGAUGGCCAGGCUGUCUCCACCCGAGACUCAGUGAAAUUGAACUCGCUGUGAAGAUGCAGUGUACCCGCGGCAAGACGGAAAGACCCCGUGAACCUUUACUAUAGCUUGACACUGAACAUUGAGCCUUGAUGUGUAGGAUAGGUGGGAGGCUUUGAAGUGUGGACGCCAGUCUGCAUGGAGCCGACCUUGAAAUACCACCCUUUAAUGUUUGAUGUUCUAACGUGGACCCGUUACCCGGGUUGCGGACAGUGUCUGGUGGGUAGUUUGACUGGGGCGGUCUCCUCCUAAAGAGUAACGGAGGAGCACGAAGGUUGGCUAAUCCUGGUCGGACAUCAGGAGGUUAGUGCAAUGGCAUAAGCCAGCUUGACUGCGAGCGUGACGGCGCGAGCAGGUGCGAAAGCAGGUCAUAGUGAUCCGGUGGUUCUGAAUGGAAGGGCCAUCGCUCAACGGAUAAAAGGUACUCCGGGGAUAACAGGCUGAUACCGCCCAAGAGUUCAUAUCGACGGCGGUGUUUGGCACCUCGAUGUCGGCUCAUCACAUCCUGGGGCUGAAGUAGGUCCCAAGGGUAUGGCUGUUCGCCAUUUAAAGUGGUACGCGAGCUGGGUUUAGAACGUCGUGAGACAGUUCGGUCCCUAUCUGCCGUGGGCGCUGGAGAACUGAGGGGGGCUGCUCCUAGUACGAGAGGACCGGAGUGGACGCAUCACUGGUGUUCGGGUUGUCAUGCCAAUGGCACUGCCCGGUAGCUAAAUGCGGAAGAGAUAAGUGCUGAAAGCAUCUAAGCACGAAACUUGCCCCGAGAUGAGUUCUCCCUGAGACUUUAGGUCUCCUGAAGGAACGUUGAAGACGACGACGUUGAUAGGCCGGGUGUGUAAGCGCAGCGAUGCGUUGAGCUAACCGGUACUAAUGAACCGUGAGGCUUAACCUUACAACGCCG
rnacentral:rRNA from 1 species